GAUGAACGCUGGCGGCGUGCCUAAUACAUGCAAGUCGAGCGAACAGACGAGGAGCUUGCUCCUCUGACGUUAGCGGCGGACGGGUGAGUAACACGUGGAUAACCUACCUAUAAGACUGGGAUAACUUCGGGAAACCGGAGCUAAUCCCGGAUAAUAUAUUGAACCGCAUGGUUCAAUAGUGAAAGACGGUUUUGCGGUCACUUAUAGAUGCAUCCGCGCCGUAUUAGCUAGUUGGUAAGGUAACGGCUUACCAAGGCAACUAUGCGUAGCCGACGGGAGAGGGGGGUCGGCCGCACUGGAACUUAGACGCGGUCCAGACGCCUACGGGAGGGCGCAGUAGGGAAUGUUCCGCAAUAGGCGGGAGUCUGACGGAGCGACGCGGCGUGAGUGAUGGCGGUCUUCGGAUCGUAAAGCUCGGUUAUUAGGGGAGAACCAAUUUGUAAGGAACUAUGCCCGGCUUGACGGUAACUGAUCAGAAAGCCCCGGCUAACUACGUG
rnacentral:rRNA from 1 species